GUCCUCUGUGGUAAAAGAUCAAUGAUCAACAGAAGAAACCAGAAAACAAACAAACAAACAAACACCAGUUUCAGUGAAUGACGCGGUCGUCAGUAAAACAACAGAAAACUGGAACGAGACAAACCUUGAACGCGUCUCUAAUCAGGAACAGCUGGGUCGUGCAGGAAGCGAUGAUUCCUCCUCAGGAAACUUUUCAUCUAAAGACUUUUACACUUUGUUAAACGAGCAUUUGUUAGACUCGAGGAAUAAACUUGGUUCGAGACAUGAAAGUGAUUUUUAAAGGCGGAAGGUUGUUCUCUUAACUCUUCUCACGUGGCUACAGGUUUAAAAGGACACACGCUGUGGUGCACAACUUCUGCUUCUGAUCCGAUAAGACGACAUCCUUCCUGAAGAAGUUGACUGAAGGGAUAUUAAGGGCCAGUAGGCAUGGCGGCUGCUGCUGCCGUGGCAACCGGCAAGAAAAGAAAGAGGCCUCACAUCUUUGAAUCCAACCCCUCAAUUCGCAAGAGGCAGCAGACCCGACUGCUCAGGAAACUAAGAGCUACACUUGAUGAGUAUACCACCAGAGUGGGGCAGCAGGCCAUAGUGCUGUGUAUUUCUCCCUCCAAACCCAACCCAGUGUUCAAGGUGUUUGGUGCUGCUCCUCUGUAGAAUGUGGUGAAGAAGUAUAGGAGCAUGAUGUUGGAGGAUCUGGAGAACGCUCUCGCUGAACACGCCCCUCCAGGUGGAGACAUGGCCCCAGAGCUGCCCACCUCACCAUAGACGGCAUCCCUGUCUCCGUGGAUAAGAUGACCCAG